rnacentral:rRNA from 1 species
UACGUAGGAGACGAGCGUUUGUCCGGAAUUACUGGGCGUAAAGCGCGUGUAGGCGGAUGGGCAAGUCUGCUGUGAAAGCUCCUGGCUUAACCGGGAGUGGUCGGUGGAAACUGCCAAUCUGGAGGACGGUAGAGGUAGGUAGAAUUCCCGGUGUAGUGGUGAAAUGCGUAGAGAUCGGGAGGAAUACCUGUGGCGAAGGCGGCCUACUGGGCCGGACCUGACGCUGAGACGCGAAGGCGUGGGGAGCGAACAGG